GACGAACGCUGGCGGCGUGCUUAACACAUGCAAGUCGAACGCUGAAGCUCAGCUUUUGUUGGGUGGAUGAGUGGCGAACGGGUGAGUAACACGUGAGUAACCUGCCCCCUUCUUUGGGAUAAUGCCCGGAAACGGGUGCUAAUACUGGAUAUUCACUGGUCUUCGCAUGGGGGUUGGUGGAAAGGGUUUUUCUGGUGGGGGAUGGGCUCGCGGCCUAUCAGCUUGUUGGUGGGGUGAUGGCCUACCAAGGCUUUGACGGGUAGCCGGCCUGAGAGGGUGACCGGUCACAUUGGGACUGAGAUACGGCCCAGACUCCUACGGGAGGCAGCAGUGGGGAAUAUUGCACAAUGGGCGCAAGCCUGAUGCAGCGACGCCGCGUGAGGGAUGGAGGCCUUCGGGUUGUGAACCUCUUUCGCUCAUGGUCAAGCCGCAACAAUGGUUGUGGUGAGGGUAGUGGGUAAAGAAGCGCCGGCUAACUACGUG
rnacentral:rRNA from 1 species